rnacentral:lncRNA from 1 species
AGGGAAGAAUGGAAACUCUAUGGGAAAUAUGGGAAAAGCAAUCCUGGACAGCUUCAAGGAGCAAGGCAAACUUGAGCUCAGCCUUCAAGCAUGGGUAGAAUUUGGACUCAAGGAAGGACACAGGGAAUAUUAAAAGCAAAGAAGCUCUUUAUGACUACCAAUGAAGACAUUAACCUGACCAGAGAGGAGGAUACAGAGCUGAGAGAUGGAUCGGCCUUCCCCGUGGAGCACUCUGAGACAUGUCAUAGCUCAUUGACAUCUCGCAAUACAGGUCAAAAAGGUUCUGUCAAUAGAAGAUACUAAAGAAAGAAAGCCAGGAGAAGAAAAGGGACUUCUUUCUUCAAGGUCUAAGCUGUUCUAAUAGCAUUAUUCUGGGAAUGGCAUCUUCCACUCCUCCUAGUACAAAGAACCUGCUUCCUCAUACCCCGUCAAGGAACUGCAGCAUCCAGGUGAUGGCCACAGUGGCAGAACCUAGGAAGCCAAGAAGAAACCAGAGAAUGGAGACACAUGGCAGCAAUGGCAAGUCAUCAGACCCAGGAUUUCCCAAAGAACACUGGUCCAGGAAGAUGCUCUGUGAAAAAGUGUUCCCUGGUCGGAGAAAUUUGUGAAACACUUUGCAUAAUACUUAAAAGAAUGUAUGGCACAUCAAAGGUAAUAUGCAAUAAAAGAAUUCAUUUUUUUAAAA